GAUGAACGCUGGCGGCGUGCCUAACACAUGCAAGUCGAACGGAAGGGCCCUGCUUUUGUGGGGUGCCUGAGUGCCGAACGCGUGAGUAUCACGUGUGUAACCUGCCCUUGUCUUUCGGAUAACUUCAGGAAACUGGGGCUACUAUAGGAUAGGAGAUCCUGCAGCGUGGUGGGCAUUGGAAAGUUUCGGCGGUUGGGGAUGGACUCGCGGCUUACCAGCUUGUUGGUGGGGUAGUUGCAUACCAAGCCUUUGACGGGUACCCGGCCUGAGAGGGUGACCGGCCACAUUAGGACUGAGAGACGGGCCAGAGUCGUACAGGGGGCAGCAGGGGGGAAUAUUGCACAGUGGGACGAAGCCUGAUGCAGCAACGCCGCGGGCGGGAAGACGGCCUUCGGGUUGUAAACCGCUUUCGCUUAUGACGAAGCGUGAGUGACGGUAAUGGGAAAAGAAGCACCGGCUAACUACGUG
rnacentral:rRNA from 1 species